GUGGGGAAUUUUGGACAAUGGGCGAAAGCCUGAUCCAGCAAUGCCGCGUGCAGGAUGGAGGCCCUCGGGUUGUAAACUGCUUUUGUACGGAACGAAAAGCCUGGGGCUAAUAUCCCCGGGUCAUGACGGUACCGUAAGAAUAAGCACCGGCUAACUACGUGCCAGCAGCCGCGGUAAUACGUAGGGUGCAAGCGUUAAUCGGAAUUACUGGGCGUAAAGCGUGCGCAGGCGGUUUUGUAAGACAGUGGUGAAAUCCCCGGGCUCAACCUGGGAACUGCCAUUGGGACUGCAAGGCUAGAGUGCGGCAGAGGGGGAUGGAAUUCCGCGUGUAGCAGUGAAAUGCGUAGAUAUGCGGAGGAACACCGAUGGCGAAGGCAAUCCCCUGGGCCUGCACUGACGCUCAUGCACGAAAGCGUGGGGAGCAAACAGGAUUAGAAACCCUUGUAGUCC
rnacentral:rRNA from 1 species